AUUUGUAUAAUAUCAAAAUAAUAUGCUUUAUUUUGGCUACAAGACUACAACGCUAAAAGUUGCACUUGUUUAGAACAUAAAGUUAAGGCUUCUCACAAUUCAUUCAUUGUCAAGAACUAAAUCAACCAAUAGGAUAAUCAAUCAAUAGGUACGCACGAGCCACGAGCCACGGCCCACGAGCACAGAGCCGCCGCGAAUGAGCCAGCGCGGCGGCCAUAAUGAGUAGCGGCCUGCGAGACCGCGAGAGCCGUCACUUGUCACCACUCACCCGCCAUUCGCGUUACCUAACGAGUGACGAAUAUGACAUUUGCAGUACACAAUAUGGCGCACAGUACGACGCGCGGCGAGUUCGCGCCCCGCUCUAAGCGCUGAGCAUACUCUACAUACCGGCCUCACUUUCGCCGAGGGCAGUUCACAUGAGUUUAUUUACAUUAUUCGAUGGCCGGUUCGCUAUCUCGGUUAUUUUUAGAAGUCCACUCUCGGCGACGCGACGUGUGCUAUCGUGCUCGCGACACGCGACACACACAAGACACCCAUUGAGCUGUGCUGCAGCCACACUACGUGUAGUGUGUGAGCCGUGGCUCAUGGUAAUGGGUAUUGCUACAGCAAUGGUCUUCACACAAUCCUCCCGCCCUCCACAACUCGUUUAGUACGACGACAACGAAUGCGACAUUUAGAAGGAUACCCAGUACCGAUCACCAAAACUUGUAAACUUUCGAGGUUCUUGGGAAACCAUAUCAACUUUAAAUCAAAAUAUCGACCCUUGAAAAACUCAUUGACUAAAGCGACAUUAUUGCGACACUAAGUUUCAUACCUACAUAUUUAAAAACAGUACUUUUAUCUAUGUUUUUUUUAAUUCUUUCUAAAAUAAAUAAAGUCAAUUAGCCUUUCAGCCGUCAAUUUAAUAAUAUAGAACUGAGAAGUCCAAAAUCCAUCUUUAAAAUAUACUUCUAAUUAUAUAGGUACUUUUAUAUCAGUUGAAGAGUUUGUUUCUGUGUUUGUUUUAACGAGCUUAUCUCAGCAACUACUGGUUCGAAUUGAAUAAAUUCUUUUAGUUUUGGAUAGCCCAUUUAUCAAGGAAGGCUAUAAGUUACAUAACAUAACGUUAUGACGAAAA